rfam:Schistosoma mansoni strain Puerto Rico chromosome 4, complete genome
AGCUUCCUGGAUCUGUGUGGAGAUUUCAUCAGACACCAGACUAUCAGGAGUGAUGAGAUUCCUGAGAUAGGUUGCG